rnacentral:rRNA from 1 species
CACGUAGGGUGCGAGCGUUGUCCGGAAUUAUUGGGCGUAAAGAGCUCGUAGGCGGUGUGUCGCGUCGGCCGUGAAAACCUGCAGCUUAACUGUGGGCGUGCGGUCGAUACGGGCAUCACUGGAGUUCGGCAGGGGAGACUGGAAUUCCUGGUGUAGCGGUGAAAUGCGCAGAUAUCAGGAGGAACACCGGUGGCGAAGGCGGGUCUCUGGGCCGAUACUGAUGCUGAGGAGCGAAAGCGUGGGGAGCGAACAGG